UUUCCGUAGGUGAACCUGCGGAAGGAUCAUUCAUAAUAAAGUGUUUUAUGGCACUUUUUAAAAAUCCAUAUCCACCUUGUGUGCAAUGUUAGAUCUCGUCAAUCUCUUGGCGAGAUUUUUAUACAUCAACUCAUUCUUUAACUAAUUUGUCUGAAAAAUAUUAUGAAUACUUAGUUCAAAAUACAACUUUCAACAACGGAUCUCUUGGUUCUC
rnacentral:misc_RNA from 1 species